rnacentral:rRNA from 1 species
CCUACGGGUGGCAGCAGUGGGGAAUAUUGCACAAUGGGGGAAACCCUGAUGCAGCGACGCCGCGUGAGUGAAGAAGUAUUUCGGUAUGUAAAGCUCUAUCAGCAGGGAAGAAAAUGACGGUACCUGAUUAAGAAGCCCCGGCUAACUACGUGCCAGCAGCCGCGGUAAUACGUAGGGGGCAAGCGUUAUCCGGAUUUACUGGGUGUAAAGGGAGCGUAGACGGCAGCACAAGUCUGGAGUGAAAUGCCGGGGCUUAACCCCGGAACUGCUUUGGAAACUGUGCAGCUAGAGUGCAGGAGAGGUAAGUGGAAUUCCUAGUGUAGCGGUGAAAUGCUUAGAUAUCAGGAGGAACAUCGGUGGCGUAAGCGCUUUACUGGGCCGUAAUUGACGCUGAGGAACGAAAGCCAGGGUAGCAAAUGGGAUUAGAUACCCGAGUAGUC